GUUUGACCUCGGAUCAGGUAGGAAUACCCGCUGAACUUAAGCAUAUCAAUAAGCGGAGGAAAAGAAACCAACAGGGAUUGCCCUAGUAACGGCGAGUGAAGCGGCAACAGCUCAAAUUUGAAAUCUGGCCUUCGGGUCCGAGUUGUAAUUUGUAGAGGAUGCUUUUGGUGAGGUGCCUUCCGAGUUCCCUGGAACGGGACGCCAUAGAGGGUGAGAGCCCCGUCUGGUUGGACACCGAUCCUCUGUAAAGCUCCUUCGACGAGUCGAGUAGUUUGGGAAUGCUGCUCUAAAUGGGAGGUAUAUGUCUUCUAAAGCUAAAUAUUGGCCAGAGACCGAUAGCGCACAAGUAGAGUGAUCGAAA
rnacentral:rRNA from 2 species